UUACUUACCUGGCAGGAGAGAUACCAUGAUCCCGAAGGUUCACCCUGGGCGAGACUCGGCAAUUACACUCCGGUCGUGCUGACCCCUGCGAAUUCCCCAAAUGUGGGAAUCUCAGCUGCAUAACUUGUGGUAGUGGGGGGGCGCGUUCUUGCUCUCCCCUG